GACGAACGCUGGCGGCGUGGAUUAGGCAUGCAAGUCGAACGGUAUCAUCCUUUCGGGGGUGAGAGAGUGGCGAACUGGUGAGUAACACGUAGGUUAUCUACCCUCAAGACGGGGACAACCCAGGGAAACUUGGGCUAAUACCGGAUGUGAGCAACUUUUAGUUGUUUGAAAGGUGGCGUAAGCUGUCGCUUGGGGAUGAGCCUGCGUCCUAUUAGUUAGUUGGUGAGGUAACGGCUCACCUAGGCAAUGAUAGGUAGGCGGCCUUAACGGGUGGUCGCCCACACUGGGAUUGAGAUACGGCCCAGACUCCUACGGGAGGCAGCAGUCGAGAAUAGUCUACAAUGGUCGGAAGACUGAUAGUGCGACGCCGCGUGAACGAUGAAUCCCCUUGGGGUGUAAAAGUUCUUUUAUAUGUGAGCAGUGCUUCUUAAUAUUAAACAGUAUGGGGAGAGAGAUAUUAGCAUAUGAAAUAAAGCAAACGGCUAAACUCCGUGCCAGCAGCCGCGGUAAUA
rnacentral:rRNA from 1 species